GCCGGUGUGGCGGAAUGGCAGACGCGACGGACUCAAAAUCCGUUGUUGGCAACAACAUGUGGGUUCAAGUCCCACCACCGGUACCA
rnacentral:tRNA from 1 species